rnacentral:rRNA from 1 species
UACGGAGGGUGCUAGCGUUGUUCGGAAUUACUGGGCGUAAAGUGUGCGCAGGCGGCCGAGCAAGUCGAGUGUGAAAGCCCCGAGCUUAACUUGGGUACUGCGCUCGAAACUACUUGGCUAGAGUGUGGCAGAGGGAGGUGGAAUUCCACGUGUAGCGGUGAAAUGCGUAGAGAUGUGGAGGAACACCGAUGGCGAAGGCAGCCUCCUGGGCCAACACUGACGCUCAUGCACGAAAGCGUGGGGAGCAAACAGG